rnacentral:piRNA from 1 species
UGGCCUGUGGAUGGAUUCUGUUCCCGUUGU